rnacentral:rRNA from 1 species
UGGGGAAUAUUGCACAAUGGGCGCAAGCCUGAUGCAGCAACGCCGCGUGAGGGACGACGGCCUUCGGGUUGUAAACCUCUUUUAGUAGGGAAGAAGCGAAAGUGACGGUACCUGCAGAAAAAGCACCGGCUAACUACGUGCCAGCAGCCGCGGUAAUACGUAGGGUGCGAGCGUUGUCCGGAAUUAUUGGGCGUAAAGAGCUCGUAGGCGGUCUGUCGCGUCUGCUGUGAAAACCCGAGGCUCAACCUCGGGCCUGCAGUGGGUACGGGCAGACUAGAGUGCGGUAGGGGAGAAUGGAAUUCCUGGUGUAGCGGUGGAAUGCGCAGAUAUCAGGAGGAACACCGAUGGCGAAGGCAGUUCUCUGGGCCGUAACUGACGCUGAGGAGCGAAAGCGUGGGGAGCGAACAGGAUUAGAUACCCUGGUAGUCCACGCCGUAAACGUUGGGCGCUAGAUGUGGGGCACCAUUCCACGGUUUCCGUGUCGGCAGCUAACGCAUUAAGCGCCCCGCCUGGGGAGUACGGCCGCAAGGCUAAAACUGCAAAUGAAUUGACGGGGUCAUAGCUGUUUCCU